rnacentral:lncRNA from 1 species
UUAGGAUAAAGGCAUACAGACUGCCUGUGUGGACCUUUCCAGAGCACCUUGAAGAAAAGCCUGCCAGGUGAAUCCUGGAAGAUAAUAGUGAACUACCUAAAACUUCACCAAUUAGUGGCCCCCACUGCAGCAGCAAUAUCAGAUGUGAUGUCUUUGUUAAAGCAGAUAAACAUAGCCUCAGGUACAAGGAAUGUGGUCAUUGAUAUGGUGUUCAUCUAGCAAACAUUCUACGAUAAACUUUCUGCAUACUCUUCUUCAUAUCAGAGUGCUCCUUCCUGAGGAUCCCAAUUAGUGAAUGUGAUACUGUGAUAUAACAAAUAUAUAUUUGGUCUUCAUCUGUUGCUUCUGACACAGAGCUCCUAAAACCCUUGGGAUUUUCUGAGUUAUAGGGGUGUCUUUUUUGUUAUUCCUAAUAAGUCCCUUUGAUCAUACCUCAGUUUAUGCUAAUUUGGUGACUUAGAGUGAGCCCACUAGAUAGCCUCAGUAUGGGCUAUAGCCCAAAUAAUUAAGAAAUAGCCCAAGUAAUUCAAGGGUUGAAACUUCAAGUCCCACCCACUGACUUUCUGGAAGAGGAGAAUAGGGGAGGCUCAAUAUUGAACUCUAUAAAAACUGUCGAACAAGGAGAUUUGAUAAGCUUCCAGGUUGGUGAACACAUCAAGGUUCUGGGAGGGUGGUACUCCUGGAACAGGCAUGGAAGCUUCACAUCUCCUCCCCAUACAUUGCCCUAUGCACCUCUUUCAUCUGGUUGUUCCUUAGUCUUAUCCUUUAUAACAGUAAAGUAUUUCCUUGAGUUCCGUGAGCCAUUCUAGCAAAAUAUUAACCUGAGAGGGGAGUCAUAAGAAUCCCUAAUUUAUAGCCAGUUGGUUGGAAGUACAGGUGACCCAGGGCUUGUGACUGGCAUCUGAAGUUGGGGCAGUCUUGUGGGACUGAACCCUUAAAUUUGUGAAUCUGACACUAACUCAGGUAGUUAUUUUUAGAAUUGAAUUAAGUUUUUGAACACCGAGCUGGUGUCAGAUAAUUGGUUGGUGUGGGAGAAACCUCCCUGUCAUGUUUUGUGUUAGAAGUAUUGAGAAAAAAAAAAAAACUCUUUUAUUUGAGGAAUGCCAGUCUCCUCUAAAUUAUCAGGCCCAGAGAGGCAAUGGAAUGAAACAGAGGUCAUGUCCCAUUAUCCCCUUUAGACUAAGUAAUCUGCUCUUGAAACUACUUGUUAAAAUCACAAGUAGCUAUAAAUUAAUCUAUCAAUGCUAGACACCAUAAUUUAUACAACAUAUAGCCAGUAUCACUAAUCAAUGUUAUUUCUGUAAACCAAUGAGAAUUCCUGACAAAAAACUUUGUAUAAGCCAACUCUUUGUCCCUGAUUUUUGCUUUUAAAAACCUGCUUGUAACAAAGGCCAAAUGGAGUUCAUAUCCAAGAUUACUUGGGUCUGAGUCUUCCAGGCAGCAGUCUCAUUUUGGCUCAAGUAAACUCUUCAAAAUUAUAUUUUGUGCCUCACUUUUUUUCCUUUAAGCCAACAUUCCUGGCACUAUGAGCAGGAUUCAGAGCAAGCCCCGACCUCAACAAUUUGACAGUCCUCUUGGAUUCAGCACCUGUUCAGCUGGAGCCUCUUGUGUUUUUCCAGAUCUAAGAGCAUUGUCACGUGUAUAUGAGUCCUGAAUUCGGACCUUCCUACCCUGAGGCUGAGGUCUAGUGUUUGCGUGAGCUGUUUUUCUCAGAUCUCCCUUCCAAGAAUGGGGCUUUCCAUCUCUAUCUAAGGUCAGGAGAUUUGGAUUUCAAGAUAAAAGAGAACUUUUACCUUCUCUGCCUCUGCCUCAUAGCAGAAGGUCUGGGUCACCAGUGCAGUCUAGCACUGGUGGUUGCACUACUUUUGGUCUAAAAUUACAUAGCAUGUUUUAAAAAUUACAGCUCCUUCCUCUUGAUUAUGAUUCAAAUGUGUCUUUUCAGUUAUGACCAAUUUUUGUUAGUUUCAAACCAAAAGGUGCAUGAGAGUGAAUUCUCUCACCCCAAAAUUAAGAGACACUUGCUCCCUCCAACUAAUUAACAAUUUAAUCCAAUUGGCAUCUGGUGGCAAGAGAUUUUUUGAAAGUGACAGAUUGUUCGUCCAUGACAAGUAGUGGUUUUAUAGGGCUUCCCCACAAGAACACCUAUUGCAACUUUCAGCUCAACCAGAAGGUGCACAUAAGGGUUGAUCACCUGGCACCUUGAACACACUGCCACCACAAGGCAAUCAGAUAUUUUGAGACACGUAAGAGAGUGAUCCAAGACUCUUUGAUGACACUUGGAGGAGUGAUGCUCAUGAGCAGCACCCUUUGACCCAAAACACAUUUCUGGCCUUGGUCACUUUUGAAAAGUUCCUAAAUUAUAGGAAAUCAACCUUCAGAAUCUGAGCACUCUUUUACAGGACAGUCUUCUUUAGAAAUACAAGCUGGUUCUGUGUAUAACACUUACGGGGCAUCUUCUUAUAAAUAUCUAAAGAAAAUGAGCCCACAUAAUCCAGGAUGGUCAUAAGCAGCAAUGGCUGAAAUGAGGGUCCUUUGAAGUCCUAAAAUAAUUUAUUUGUGUGCAUAAUUGAAAAAAACUAGUUUUAGAACAUGACAAAUUGAUGGGAGCACCCAUUCAAUGGCACCUAGAAGCUUCUAAAAGAAAUUGUAACAAAAUUGACUGCAUUCAGGAGGUAAACAAAAGGAUAUCUGACACUAUUUCUGAAUUUAAAAAGACUAUGGAGGUCUUCUCCCUUCCAUCUCCAACUCCUCCUCCUCCUAACCCCUCACCUUUAUAUCCUGUCUUAUUCAAACUUCCUGCCCUGACUUAACUCCCCUUCUACCACCAUCACCUGAGGAAACUCUCCUGGUCUCUGGCCCCCUCCCUGGAACUUCUAUUUUUGCAGUCUCUUUCAGGGUAAAACCCAUAGCAAGAGGUGAGCCUAUUAUUAUAUAUGCCCCUUGGACAAAGACUGAACUUAAGAAUACCAUGAAAGACUUCCCAGACCCAUUCCAAGAUCCCAUAGGGUUUGCAAAAGAAUUUGAU